rnacentral:rRNA from 1 species
AUUGAACGCUGGCGGCAUGCUUUACACAUGCAAGUCGAACGGUAACAGGCCGCAAGGUGCUGACGAGUGGCGAACGGGUGAGUAAUGCAUCGGAACGUGCCCAGUCGUGGGGGAUAACGCAGCGAAAGCUGUGCUAAUACCGCAUACGAUCUAUGGAUGAAAGCGGGGGACCGUAAGGCCUCGCGCGAUUGGAGCGGCCGAUGUCAGAUUAGGUAGUUGGUGGGGUAAAGGCUCACCAAGCCGACGAUCUGUAGCUGGUCUGAGAGGACGACCAGCCACACUGGGACUGAGACACGGCCCAGACUCCUACGGGAGGCAGCAGUGGGGAAUUUUGGACAAUGGGCGCAAGCCUGAUCCAGCAAUGCCGCGUGCAGGAAGAAGGCCUUCGGGUUGUAAACUGCUUUUGUACGGAACGAAAAGGCUCUGGUUAAUACCCGGGGCUCAUGACGGUACCGUAAGAAUAAGCACCGGCUAACUACGUGCCAGCAGCCGCGGUAAUAC